AAAUCUUUUCUCGCUUUUCCAGUGGAACCCCAUGAUUGAUCACUUGAAAAAACCCCCAGUCUCUGCAUGCAUCGCCUAUCUUCUUUACAAGAUCCUCCAGGGAGGCAUCAGGAGAGCUCGGAAUGGAUAGAUCAAUUAGGGGUAUUCCCUGUGCUUCAAUGUUUUGCAGGCUUGGCCUGUGUUCUAGAGCUUGGAAGAAGGCUGGAUCGACCUCUCCCAUGUUAAUGAUUUUGGAUUUGAUGAGAAUAUGAGGCUGACAUUAUGGUUUUAUAUAUAGUGAUUAGUGUGAAGGAAAUAAAGGAAUUAAUGGAAAGUGAACCUAGACAGGAUUUGGCGCUUUAUCAGGAUGGUGUAUUUGGUGGUGCCAAAGCAAAUGAAUACAAUUUGGCUUGGAAGAUUUG
rnacentral:misc_RNA from 1 species